GACGAACGCUGGCGGCGUGCUUAACACAUGCAAGUCGAACGGAAAGGCCCUGCUUGCCGGGUACUCGAGUGGCGAACGGGUGAGUAACACUUGGGUGAUCUGCCCUGCACUUCGGGAUAAGCCUGGGAAACUGGGUCUAAUACCGGAUAGGAGCCAUUUUUAGUGUGAUGGUUGGAAAGUUUUUUCGGUGUAGGAUGAGCUCGCGGCCUAUCAGCUUGUUGGUGGGGUAAUGGCCUACCAAGGCGGCGACGGGUAGCCGGCCUGAGAGGGUGGACGGCCACAUUGGGACUGAGAUACGGCCCAGACUCCUACGGGAGGCAGCAGUGGGGAAUAUUGCACAAUGGGCGCAAGCCUGAUGCAGCGACGCCGCGUGGGGGAUGACGGCCUUCGGGUUGUAAACUCCUUUCGCUAGGGACGAAGCUUUUGUGACGGUACCUAGAGAAGAAGCACCGGCUAACUACGUG
rnacentral:rRNA from 1 species